GCAAUAGGUACUGGUCAGAGCCAGAGACCAGGAUGACCCUGCCCCUUCCGCUGAGGUCUAGAGUGACCAGAGAAGGGAACUCCAGGGUAAAACAGAGCGGCAACCCCUAAGAACCUGGGGGCACAAACAGCACAAAGACCAUUUAAUGAAGCAUUUUCAGAGUUUAGGAUAUUUCCAACAAAAUAUUUUCCCCAAAAGGUAUCUUUAAUAAUAUUGGAUGCGUUGAUUUCUAAGAGGGUCCUACAGAGACACAUUCCAGUCACUGGUCUCCCUUUCUCCCAUGUAUUGGUAUUUUCAAUACAUAAUGUCUGGAGCAGAGCAUGGAAAUGGCCUGAAAAUAUCCUCUCCUUUGCAUACGGGAACACACAGAUGGGAGGAUGCGUCUUCAGGAGUUUCUUGAGUGCUGAAGACCAACCUUGGAAAGUACCAGGUGAUGGAGCUGAAAACUGGAACAGCCUUGAGACUUCUCUUAACUGACAGGAGCAUUUGGGGCAGAAAUACAAUUAAAUGCUCUUGAUUUGAUUUGAUCCAUCAGCAAAGUCCUCUUGUAAUUUUCCUCUUUUUUUCUGGGGAAGGGGAUAGACUGAGUCUGUAAACUUUGCUUUAGUUGUUAAAUGAAUAAAGACAGAGCUGGAAGUUAAAGCAGAGAGAUCUGGGAGAAAACAACACUUGUUUAUCUCAAAGAAACAGAGUUGCCUUCAAUCUCAGAGGACUUUCAGUGUGUUCCUCAAGAGCAACUAACCCUGUCUUCCCUGGUCCCCCAAGCAUGUCUGUCCCUGGAGACGGUUCUCCAGGCCGACCUGUGGGGUGUUGAGUGUCCCACCUGAGUUCCUCGGGAAUCAGGAAGAUGCCCCUGCAGGGACAUUGAUGAUAUUUUAGAAAUGCUCAAAGUGCAAACUGUCUUCAGAUUUAUGUAUCGCAAAGCCAACUACCCUGACCUUCAGAUGAACAUAGGAUAGGUGGACAGGUGAAUAAACGCUUCUUAUUAGCAGAUGAUGGCACGAGUCCACACUGCCUACAGGAAGUUGAACCUGGAACCCUCCCCAGUCAUUCUCAAAAGAAACAAACAGAAUCUCUUUGGCUUUCUUGAAACCAGCUCAGUGAUAUCUUCCUCUGCUCAAGUCAUAGACUUAGCCAUUGCUUUUCAUAAGGUGUUAGUAGACACUGAGAUAAACCUAAGGGUUGGCCUUAUAGCUACUAAGAGUUUUACGAGCAGUUGAAAAUGUUAACUUUACGUAAUAAGAUGCCAUAUCUAGUUUAUCUGGCAACAAUUUCUAUGAGGCUGAAAUAUUACAGCGCUAUGGAUUGUUACUAUUCUUUAUAUAGAAUUUGAAAAAGAUUUGUCAUUAGGAAAAGCUGAAAAAUCAAAUUCACCAAUGAUCCUACAGACGCCAAGUUGGAAACAUGCUCCCAAAACUUUAGAUGGUCAGAACUCUGAUAUAUAGAACACAAAUAUCAUCGAGCAUUUGCAUCAUCUGAGUGAUUUGUGGCUUUUAUUUGCCUAAUGGAAAUGGAUAUCACUGCAUUAGAGGUGUCUUUCUCUCUAGCUCUGCUUCCUUCUCAUCAGUCACCGCCUUCCCAGGCAAGAGAAAGUCGCCUCUUCUUUGCUCCGAAGGCACCAUGGAAACCACAAAGGGGGCUGAAUCCACUUCUUUAAUUUCCAGUGAAUUCCACUUAGUGAAAAUGCUCAAUUUGACUUUUUUUUCUGUAUGAAAGUAGAUACGAGUGCAGGUUUUAUUUUCAUGACAAUAUCAGCCUAAAUGCUGUUACUAUGUGCGGUCUAUUACAUCCAAUGGGGGCUGUAAGGCUGAAGCUUCACUUGUAACCCAGAGAUUUUUUUCACAAAUUCUGUGACUGACUCCUUUCUCUCAGCUCUGUUCCUAGGAUUCUUAACUCAGAAGAGGACCCUAGACAGAUUACACAAAAAUUUCAUUAAAGAAAAGAGAGAUGUGGUGAAUAUCGAGGUAAUAUAUGUAAUCCACAUUAAUGAGAAGCCAGUGAACAUUUCAAACGCUUGUUAUAUAUACAUAUACUGUGUGGCUGUACGUCUGCACUCCAGUUUACCCCUCUCCACCAUGAAUGCGGCCAUGCCAAGCUCUUCAGAGAACGUUAGCUCUUUUGGAUAUACGGAUUACAUUUUUCCAGUCUAUGAUUAAGACAGACUGCAUAUGUGACUCUAGCCUCAUAAGACAACUCCAUAACAUACUAUUUCAUGACUAUCCUUCUGUCCACAUUGAGAAUAAGCGUAUUUGUUUACCAAAUCUAUGGUACACACAUUUGAAAAGUGUGCAAGAAGGUGGAGUUUCCUAAGCAGUGUCCAGAUUGGGAGUGGGUAUUUCACCUGCAACCUGGCAUAGAAAGGACCAUGCUCAGUCCUGUUUUCAGCUAGAAGCCUGUGUCUGACCUUGGAGCGUCCUGGAAAACCCUGAACUUACAAUGCCAGAUCUCUUACAUCUCUUACGGAAGCCUGGCAGCAUUGGCAACGCUAUUUUCCUUCCUGUUGCAGUGAUAUGAUUAGGGUAUGCCUGGAGGGAAUAAUGGUUCCAAAAACAUAGAAAGAACAUUUGAAAUAAAAUAAGAAUUCAUAUCAAUAAUAGAUAAGGCUUAUGCAAACCUGGGUUUAGAAACACUUGUGUAUAUUCGAAAUGAGAGGUUAGACAGGAGUUUAGUGAAGUGUUUCUUUUAUCUUGCCAGUUUCAUUCCUUUUUUGUA
rnacentral:lncRNA from 1 species